UACGUAGGGUGCGAGCGUUGUCCGGAAUUAUUGGGCGUAAAGAGCUUGUAGGUGGCUCGUUGCGUCGGGAGUGAAAACCUGCGGCUUAACCGCAGGCCUGCUUCCGAUACGGGCGAGCUAGAGUUCGGCAGGGGAGACUGGAAUUCCUGGUGUAGCGGUGGAAUGCGCAGAUAUCAGGAGGAACACCGGUGGCGAAGGCGGGUCUCUGGGCAGUAACUGACGCUGAGGAGCGAAAGCGUGGGGAGCGAACAGG
rnacentral:rRNA from 1 species